UUUGAAAUAAUUUUAAUGGGUGAGAGGAGAGAGAUGGACGACACUCAUGUUUUUUUAACACAAUAAAUGAAAUAUCAUUAGAAAAUAACGUAUUUUAUUUUAAAAGAUAAUUUUUUAAGGGUGAAGGGAGAGAGAUAAGCAACAUCAAUAUAAAAAAAAUAUCUUUUAUCAGUGGAGGGAGAGAGAUGGGCUACACUAGUAUUUUUUGGUGCAAAAAUACGAUCUAAAUGGUAGAGGGUAAAUUUUGUAUCGUUUUUGUUACAAGCCAAUUUUGACCCACUAUACCCAUUACAAUUAAACCUAACUACCCAUUCAGCCCAAUAUUUAAACCCCAUUUACAAUCAGACCCACCACUCAAACCUUAACCUAUCAAACCCACAACAACCCAAUUACUAAACCCCAAAUACCCAUCUAAACCGAGAGGCCCAAUCAUAAACCCAAAUACAUUACAACAAAACCCAAACCCACUACCCAAACCUACCCUCAGCCCAACACUAACCCAUACCCACUAAACUAACCCAACAGAAGCCCAAACCCCUUACAACCCAAUACCCAUUGAAACCCUAGCCACCUACCCCCAUCGACAAAGUCACCUCAGCGCCGCAACACCCAUGCCGUCUGCCACAUCCGCCACCUGCUCCACCUGCAAGACAAGAAAGACACGCAACAGCAACAAAAAGAAAGCAGACAGUGUGACAAAAGAGACUAUAAAGCCGAAUGAAAACGUUUGUAACAGGGUUCUUUUUUUUCGAAUAUUCAAGAAAAACCAAACAAUACAAACACAAAUCUAUAUUGAGAAGCAAUCUAACAACAGAAAGGUGAUUUCUUUGUUCCUUUUCCUCUUUAUUUCUAUUAUCCUUAAAUAGAUAAAUAAAAGAUAUCGAAUCUUACCUCGUUUGGGGCGAUCAGAGAGUAGAACCGAAAGGUUUUCUCCUGAUUUCAGUUGGCUUUGUUGAGGUUUUUGAACAUUUUAACUACAGAUCUAAGGUAAGGGGAACCAAAGGGUAAAAAAGGGCCGAUUUUGCGAUUCCGGCCGCCGUAUAUGGUGGUCGCCGGCAACGGACGGACGGUGGUCCGAUAGCCGGAAAUCAUCCAUGCCAGAGCACUAAACCCUUUCCCUUUCUUUUUUUUAAAAAACAAAGCUGAAAUGAAAUUUUAGAAAAAUUUUGACUUUUAUACUAUUUAUAGAACGGUGCCGUUUUGGCAUUAAACCCCAGGACAUAAAACGACGCCGUUUCGCCCUGGGUCAGACCGACCCGACCCAUACCCGCCUAGGAUCGCGUGUUUUUGUUCUUAGGGGAUAUUUGCGCAAUCGGUCCUUCCACAUUUUUG
rnacentral:lncRNA from 1 species